GACGAACGCUGGCGGCGUGCCUAAUACAUGCAAGUCGAGCGGACUUUCAAGAAGCUGGCUUUUUGAAAGGUAGCGGCGGACGGGUGAGUAACACGUGGGCAACCUGCCUGCAAGACGGGGAUAACUCCGGGAAACCGGGGCUAAUACCGGAUAAUAUCUUCCUUCGCAUGAAGGAAGGUUGAAAGGCGGCGCAAGCUGCCGCUUGCAGAUGGGCCCGCGGCGCAUUAGCUAGUUGGUGAGGUAACGGCUCCCCAAGGCGACGAUGCGUAGCCGACCUGAGAGGGUGAUCGGCCACACUGGGACUGAGACACGGCCCAGACUCCUACGGGAGGCAGCAGUAGGGAAUCUUCCGCAAUGGACGAAAGUCUGACGGAGCAACGCCGCGUGAGCGAAGAAGGUCUUCGGAUCGUAAAGCUCUGUUGUCAGGGAAGAACAAGUACCGUUCGAACAGGGCGGUACCUUGACGGUACCUGACCAGAAAGCCACGGCUAACUACGUG
rnacentral:rRNA from 1 species